rnacentral:rRNA from 1 species
AGUGAACGCUGGCGAUAGGCCUAACACAUGCAAGUCGAACGGCAGCACAGUAAGAGCUUGCUCUUACGGGUGGCGAGUGGCGGACGGGUGAGGAAUACAUCGGAAUCUACUUUUUCGUGGGGGAUAACGUAGGGAAACUUACGCUAAUACCGCAUACGACCUACGGGUGAAAGCAGGGGAUCUUCGGACCUUGCGCGAUUGAAUGAGCCGAUGUCGGAUUAGCUAGUUGGCGGGGUAAAGGCCCACCAAGGCGACGAUCCGUAGCUGGUCUGAGAGGAUGAUCAGCCACACUGGAACUGAGACACGGUCCAGACUCCUACGGGAGGCAGCAGUGGGGAAUAUUGGACAAUGGGCGCAAGCCUGAUCCAGCCAUACCGCGUGGGUGAAGAAGGCCUUCGGGUUGUAAAGCCCUUUUGUUGGGAAAGAAAAGCAGCAGGUGAAUACCCCGCUGUUCUGACGGUACCCAAAGAAUAAGCACCGGCUAACUUCGUG